GACGAACGCUGGCGGCGUGCUUAACACAUGCAAGUCGAACGGAAAGGCCCCUUUGGGGGUACUCGAGUGGCGAACGGGUGAGUAACACGUGAGUAACCUGCCCUUGACUUCGGGAUAACUUCAGGAAACUGGGGCUAAUACCGGAUAGGAAUCCUUGCUGCAUGGUGGGGGUUGGAAAGCUUCGGCGGUUUUGGAUGGACUCGCGGCUUAUCAGCUUGUUGGUGGGGUAGUGGCUUACCAAGGCUUUGACGGGUAGCCGGCCUGAGAGGGCGACCGGCCACAUUGGGACUGAGAUACGGCCCAGACUCCUACGGGAGGCAGCAGUGGGGAAUAUUGCACAAUGGGCGGAAGCCUGAUGCAGCAACGCCGCGUGCGGGAGGACGGCCUUCGGGUUGUAAACCGCUUUCAGCAGGGGCGAAGCUUGUGGUGACGGUACCUGCAGAAGAAGCACCGGCUAACUACGUG
rnacentral:rRNA from 1 species